ACCUACCUUAUACAGGGGAAUAGCCCGAAGAAAUUCGGAUUAAUGCUCCAUGGUUUAUCGAUAUGGCAUCGUAUUGAUAAUAAAGAUUUAUCGGUAUAAGAUGGGCAUGCGUAUCAUUAGCUAGUUGGUGUGGUAACGGCAUACCAAGGCAACGAUGAUUAGGGGUCCUGAGAGGGAGAUCCCCCACACUGGUACUGAGACACGGACCAGACUCCUACGGGAGGCAGCAGUGAGGAAUAUUGGUCAAUGGAGGCAACUCUGAACCAGCCAUGCCGCGUGCAGGAUGACGGUCCUAUGGAUUGUAAACUGCUUUUGUACAGGAAGAAACCUCCCUACGAGUAGGGACUUGACGGUACUGUAAGAAUAAGGAUCGGCUAACUCCGUGCCAGCAGCCGCGGUAAUACGGAGGAUCCGAGCGUUAUCCGGAAUUAUUGGGUUUAAAGGGUUCGUAGGCGGCUUUGUAAGUCAGUGGUGAAAUUUCCUAGCUUAACUAGGACACUGCCAUUGAUACUGCAGAGCUUGAAUAAUAUGGAAGUAACUAGAAUAUGUAGUGUAGCGGUGAAAUGCUUAGAUAUUACAUGGAAUACCAAUUGCGAAGGCAGGUUACUACGUAUUUAUUGACGCUGAUGAACGAAAGCGUGGGGAGCGAACAGGAUUAGAUACCCUGGUAGUCCACGCCGUAAACGAUGGAUACUAGCUGUUCGGUUUUCGGACUGAGUGGCUAAGCGAAAGUGAUAAGUAUCCCACCUGGGGAGUACGUUCGCAAGAAUGAAACUCAAAGGAAUUGACGGGGGCCCGCACAAGCGGUGGAGCAUGUGGUUUAAUUCGAUGAUACGCGAGGAACCUUACCAGGGCUUAAAUGUAGAUUGACAGAUUUGGAAACAGAUUUUUCUUCGGACAAUUUACAAGGUGCUGCAUGGUUGUCGUCAGCUCGUGCCGUGAGGUGUCAGGUUAAGUCCUAUAACGAGCGCAACCCCUAUUGUUAGUUACCAGCGCGUAG
rnacentral:rRNA from 1 species